AGUCGAGCGAAGCUUUUCAGUAGUUUACUACAGAAAAUGACUGAGCGGCGAACGGGUGAGUAACGCGUGAGCAAUCUACCUUAGUUACAGGGAUAGCCCGAGGAAACUCGGAUUAAUACCUGAUAUUCUUUAAAUUUCGCAUGAAAUUAAAAGGAAAGGUCAGCCGAACUAAGAUGAGCUCGCGUUCUAUCAGCUAGUUGGUGAGGUAAAAGCUCACCAAGGCAACGACGGAUAGCUGGUCUGAGAGGACGAUCAGCCACACUGGGACUGAGACACGGCCCAGACUCCUACGGGAGGCUGCAGCAGGGAAUAUUGCGCAAUGAGCGAAAGCUUGACGCAGCGACACCGCGUGUGGGAUGACGGAUCUAGGUUUGUAAACCACUUUCAGGAGGGAAGAAAAUGACGGUACCUCCACAAGAAGCCCCGGCCAACUACGUGCCAGCAGCCGCGGUAAUACGUAGGGGGCGAGCGUUGUCCAGAUUUAUUGGGCGUAAAGAGCUCGUAGGCGGUUCAACAAGUCGGUCGUAAAAGUUCAGGGCUCAACCC
rnacentral:rRNA from 1 species